rnacentral:rRNA from 1 species
AUUUGACCUCGGAUCAGGUAGGAAUACCCGCUGAACUUAAGCAUAUCAAUAGC